UGGAUAGUGAUGAUGCUUAAUAUAUAAUCCAACACUUGAUUUGAGAUAUUUUAGUGAUGUGCUAAACAGUUUUAUAUGCUUCUGAUUUUAA
rfam:Lupinus angustifolius cultivar Tanjil chromosome LG11, whole genome shotgun sequence.